ACGGAAGGCAGCAGUGGGGAAUAUUGCACAAUGGGGGAAACCCUGAUGCAGCGACGCCGCGUGAGUGUAGAAGUUAUUCGUAAUGUAAAGCUCUAUCAGCAGGGAAGAAAAUGACGGUACCUGACUAAGAAGCCCCGGCUAACUACGUGCCAGCAGCCGCGGUAAUACGUAGGGGGCAAGCGUUAUCCGGAUUUACUGGGUGUAAAGGGAGCGCAGACGGCUUUGCAAGUCUGAUGUGAAAGGCAGGGGCUCAACUCCUGGACUGCAUUGGAAACUGUAGGGCUAGAGUGUCGGAGAGGUAAGCGGAAUUCCUAGUGUAGCGGUGAAAUGCGUAGAUAUUCGGAGGAACACCAGUGGCGAAGGCGGCCUACUGGGCUCUUACUGACGCUGAGGCUCGAAAGUGUGGGGAGCAAACAGGAUUAGAUACCCUGGUA
rnacentral:rRNA from 1 species